CAAAGCAGCUGCUCGGCAAAGGGAAGGAUAAAGGACAAUGCAGGAGGAAAACCUAUGGAAGAACGCACUGCUGUAUUUGGCAAUACGUUAGGUCCUGAUGACUUAUGAGCAUAAUGCGCAUUACAGCAAAAACGACACAGAGGCAUUUUGGCCACUUCACCAUGCUAUACCAGCAUAAAUUGCUGAGAACUACUUGGAGAAAUAAGUUCAGCAUGCAUGAUGCAACACAAGGGCAAACUGAUGGCUAGGCUACAAGACGUGACAUUUCUACUUCAGAGGCAAGAACCUAACAGCUGGAGACACAACAGAAAGGACUGGGAGAAGUAUAACAAAGAAUCCCAUCCCAAAAGAAUAAAACUCAGGAAAGCUGAAAGCUACCUGUCAACACUAAGCAAGAGGGAGCACACGAGGGGAAGCUCAGCACAACUGCACCAACCUCAUGCUUCACUGCUUCGGUGGCACUGGUCAGAAGCACACCCAGAUACUGCACCUCCUGCAGUCACUGGACAAAACUGAGCCUCUUUUCCCAUCUGCUAGGUGGGGUUUAACUGGCUUGUGAUAUCGUACGUAGAAGCACUAAGACAAAGUUCAGCUCAACACAUGGAAGCCAAAGCAUGAAGAGCAAUAUCCGUAAGUGAAGCUUCAAAAGAAAGGGUUCUCCAAGAUGGCAAAAGGUGGUAAUACAUGCUAAGGAGGAGACUUCUACAGAGACAGCAUGAAAUGCACCAGAAAUAAAAACUUAGUGAACUUCUGAAAACAAUCUUUAAUUAAAGUGCAUGACACAUGAGUCAGGGAUCCAACUGUGCAGGAAACACAAAUUAUAACAAAGGUUUAAGGACAUCAAGAGAACAAUAACGGAUUUUAAUCAGUUUACUCAUAUAAAUAAGGGAGUCUGGAAUUUUGAUCUGUAAACAAAACAAUGCACAAUAACUGAGACGUUUCCUAGAGCAAAGGGCUCCACCAAGAAUGUGCUUACACCACGAUUCUUAUCCCCAAAAUAUACAGAAACAAAACUAAGUAAAAUACAAAAUUAACAAGUAUGCAGUGUAUAAAUUACUAAGAUCUACUUUUUAUAAAGUAGCUUUUAUUUAGAAAUUCAAAAAUUAGAAAAGCACUACUGAGGAAAACAGCCAGAAGUUAAUGAUCAAAACAGUCACGAGAAGGUUUCAUCACGUGAGUAGGAUGGUAACUGGUUAUAAGGUUACACGAAAUAGCUUUCUGUAGGAAGCAGUCACUUACAGUACCACAAAUUAGUAUUUAAAAUAGACAGAAACAGCUCAGAACUUAUGACUGUUAACUGCUAAAACUGAAAGGAUGUUAUUAUUUCUUGAGCAAAAGCGGUUCAGUGAGAUGUUGUCAAUGCAAGUGCUACCACUACAAGAGAAAGAUUAUAUCUUAAUAUUUAAAAAAGCUCAAAAAAUUUAUUCA